rnacentral:pre_miRNA from 1 species
AGGAGGAACAACCCCAGUGGCGGGGCCAGCUCUGCAGCCCUGGAGUCAGCCCCCGCAGUAACUCAGAGCUCUCCGUCUGCAGGGCCUGGAGGCUCCGGGCGGGG